rnacentral:rRNA from 1 species
AACGAACGCUGGCGGCAUGCCUAACACAUGCAAGUCGAACGAGACCUUCGGGUCUAGUGGCGCACGGGUGCGUAACGCGUGGGAACCUGCCCUUAGGUUCGGAAUAACUCCCCGAAAGGGGUGCUAAUACCGGAUAAUGUCUUCGGACCAAAGAUUUAUCGCCUUUGGAUGGGCCCGCGUUGGAUUAGCUAGUUGGUAGGGUAAAAGCCUACCAAGGCGACGAUCCAUAGCUGGUCUGAGAGGAUGAUCAGCCACACUGGGACUGAGACACGGCCCAGACUGGGACGGGAGGCGGCAGUGGGGAAAAGGGGACAAUGGGCGGAAGCGUGAGCCAGAGAUACGGAGUGGGUGAAGAACGCCUUCGGGUGGGAGAGGGAUUUUGUCGGGAAAGAAAAGCAGCCGGGGAAUACCGCGCUGUUCUGAGGGUACCUAAAGAAGAAGCACCGGCUAGCUUCGUG